UUAUACACUAACUCACAGCGUACAAAUACAAAAGUUGUUUGAUAAACUCAUAAACACUACAAAUUCAAUAUUAGUUUCUCUUAAGCAACUAUGACAAACACGCUUAAAGAAAAAUCAAAUUUUUGGUUGGACACCUAACACUUACUCAACCAUUUGUCCCGAGUCAAUGAUCGACGACUUUUGACUCCACGAGUCUUUGACUAGGGAGUUUGGUAAAAAGUGAAAGUUGUGAAAAAAUAACUAGAGCAUGAGAUCUUAUAUGAGGAGUUUUUAGUUUAAUUAGGGAUUAAAUAAAAAGAAAAAAGCUAAUAACCAGAAGCAACUUAUCUUAAUUAGGUGACAUAAGAUCAUGAUUAUCCGGAGAUUUUAGAUGGGGUUCUUAGUUUAAUUAGGAAUUAAAGAAAAAGAAAAAUGGUAAUUACCAUAAGCAACGUAUCUUAAAUAGGCAAUACAAGAGCCGCCUCUUAUAUGACACGCGUCGCUUUAUUGCUCUUUUCCCCUAUUUUUUCUGUUUCGUUUCUUUUGCCUUUUCUCGAGAAAAUUCCAAAGAGAAAAUCUCGUGAUUACAAAUCUGAUCAUGGAGAUGGAGUCAUCAAAGGUUCUUGAAAAUACAGACCAGAAAACUGAUCAGUGAGUACUAAUCCAGCGAUGACCUUCGACGAGGUUCCAUGGAACGCAGCAAGAGCUUCUUCAAGGCCUUGCAUGUUUCCUUUUCUUUAAUCUCUCUCUCUCUUCGCUGCAUAUUCUUUUGCUUCUGUUUGAUUAGAUUCUUUUUAAAAAGUUAAAAAUCUAUGAACAUGAUUUGUCUGAGUCAGAUUCAUGAUCUCCUUGUAUGCUCUCAAGGCUUUGUGAUCCAAUGAUCUCUAAUAGCUUUGUAAUUUGUUCCAACAAUUGGCUGUUAGUUAACUUGUGAUGCGGACUUUCAUCCUUUACGUUUUUGAUGUAACAGGAGCUGAAGAACUUGAGAGCUCAGCUCUACUCUGCUGCUGAUUAGUUUGAGAAGUCUUAUCUCCACAGCGAACAAAAGCAAAUGGUGUUGGACAAUUUAAAGGACUAUACUGUAAAGGCUCUUGUUAAUGUUGUUGAUCACUUGGGUACUGUUGCUUCCAAGCUUACUAAUCUCUUUGAUCAGCAGAGUUCUGACAUUUCAACUAUGGAGCUGAGGGCUUCUUGUGUUAGUCAGAAACUCCUUACUUGCCGGACUUUGUUAGUCCUCUCAAACGAUCUGAAUCAAGACAGAAUCAUUGCAAUGCGCCAGAAGGUGAGUUUUUGUGUUUCCACACAGCUCAUCAUUUUCAUGUGGCAGUGUGUUUUAUUUAUAUAGUUUUCCACCUUUGAUUAGUGGCGCCUUUGUGAGAUUGACCUUGAGGACUACUUUUUUGUUCUACUAACCAGGUUGUUCCAGAGCAUCCAGAGACACAUUUACUUGAAGCGACCAAUGGACAAGGUCACCUCCGUUGCCAUUCCUCUUGCCUUGGCUGCAUCUUCUCUCUACAUGAUUGUAAGUUUGUAUCUGUUCCAUUUUCUUGUUUGUUUUUUUCAGAAUUGUGUAUUCAUGCUUUUCUAUGUUUUUUUAGAAUCUGUUAUGUUCUUCACUGAAUAGUUUUGAUUGAAGCUUAUAUUUGUUGUUAUUCCUCUUGCCUUGAUUGCUGUUACUGAGUUCUUUAAUAACCUGUUAGGCUGCUACUGAGCUUUUUAGGACCUUACUUUCUUUCACUCAACAACACUAUUGUUCUGAGUUAGGUCUCAAAUUGCAGACCAAUUGCUCCUGUGUUUUGCAUAUCUAUAAACAUAUAUAUGCUUGUAUCCAAUCUUCAUGAACCAUAUACAUGUUUGGACAAUUUUUUUUUUUUAAGAACUUCUAAAUAAGAGAUUCUCAUUAGAGCACAAAAUCAAAGUAUUUCUUAGCUAAGAUUCUUAAUUACAUUUAAUUAAUAAAAUAAUCACUAAAAUACCUAAGUGAGGUUGUGGGUUAAUCAUGCCCUUAGAUGCAUAGAAGUGCGAUAAAAACUGAAAUAUUGUAGGAUUUUUGUAAAUAGAGAGAUUACCUGAUGAUUUGAACAGAGUUAAGGUUUUUUACUAGUUGGGUAGGUAAAGUUAUUUUUAACGAAAAAGUAAUAAUGUUAGCUACAAAAGUUUUGAUUCGUUGACCAAGGCCUUUGAUCUAGAAUAUGGUGUGUACUAAAAACUCGGAAACAGAUCCCAAAAUGUGAAUGUGGACUUUGGAAUCAUAUAAAUUGGAAAAUAAUUGACAAAUUUUUGGCACACUAUAUUUAAUGUAAUUUGUAAUCAUGUAAUGCGAAUAAAUUAUUAUUUAUAAGAUUUAUAUCCUAAUACCCUGACAUUUAAAUA